CGAAAGGAUUCAGAAACGAGCAAUGCAUAUGAUCUUUCCAGACCUCAGUUAUAAUGAUGCGCUUGCAGAGACUAAACUUUUCAAACUUGGUGUAAGAUGGGAGAAAUUGAGUGGUGAUUUAUUUAGUCAUAUUGUUAGGAAUGGCAAUCAUAAAUUAGCCCAUCUAUUACUUCCUAUAGAGUUAAUGUAUCUCGGAACAUGAGGAAUCUUAGAAUUUUUGAAAUUCCGGUGUGUUGGACAGAUCGGUUCAAGAAAUCAUUUAUAGUACAUUUCGCUGACAUUUUUAACUUAGAUUCGUAAUUUUAUAUCUUUAAAUUUUUCUUA